UUCCAACUUUUCUCUUUCCCCACCUUUGGGAAUCCUAUUACCCCUUCCUUUGGUAGGAUCCUAGAAACAAGAGGACUAGGAAGCUUCUUAAAUAUUCUGCUCACAGACCCUCUGGGACACAGAAGCAGGGUGGAGAAUGCCUAAGAGCUGCCCUUUCAUACCUCUGGCAUAAUACUCCUUGACAGUGCAACAUUCUGAGGGGAGUGAGGCUUUCUUGCUAGCUAUCAACUCUCAAAGAAGAAGAAAUAGUCACCCUGACUCUUUCUUAGCAUAAUCAAGAGGAUGCAGAGGCAAGCUCACAAGAUAUGAGGAGUAAUAGCUGACAGGCAUGUCAACACUGGAUACUACAGGAAAAUUGCUGUGACUGCAGAGGUCUAGUGGCUGUGUGCGGUGUUGCUGAUAGAAUUUAAAGUGCAACUUUAUGGGAACUAAAGCUAAGAAAUCAAAAAUCUUUUUUCAAAGACCACCGCAUCACUCCGCCCUCAUCAGAGAAGUUUCUGUUUGCAUAGACAACUCACAACAAGACAAUGUGAAGAAAGUGAGGGAGUCUGAGCACUCAGUCCUAAAUGGGAUGUCUUCAUCAAAGCUCUCCCCCCAAGGCUCAGAGUCUAUGUGGAAGAGGAAGCAGAAAAACAGCCGGACGAGAUGGAUGACUCCAAGGCAACUGUCUUCCAGGCACAACAGGACUGAUGCACAUCUGAGCUCGCAGAGUCUGUGGCUGCACACAUGAAGCCUGUACAGGUUCAAGCCAGAUGAGGUCCAAGCACAGAGGAAGUAAAUGCAGGCUCCCACCCAUAAGAAGCUCUCUGCAAUUGACACCCUAAUGGCAAAGGCAAAAUCGGUUUUCUUCAAUGGAGUCUCACUGGGAAUAUACAUCACACUUCAGGUUAGAUGCCAUGCUCAGGAGUAUCUGACCAACACAAAAUGACCUAAAUGAUAUUUUACAUUUUUUGUCUUAUUUUGCUUUGUUUGGUCAUUUUUGUCUUCUAGGUUUUUUGCUUGUUUGAGUUUUUGUGUGUGUGUGUGUUUCUGUAGGGAGUUCUUGUGUGUGUGCAUACUUCUUAGUUUUGUUGUUUUGUUUUUGUCUUUUUCUGUCUGUUUGUUGAGGUGGGGAGAACAUGAAGUUGGAUAGGUAGGUGGGGAGGAUGCAGGAAGAAUUGGGGGACGGGAAAACAUGAUCAAAAUCUAUUAUAUGAAUUUUUUCAAUUAAAGAAAAGCUUUAAAAAAGAUGGGCAAGGGUCCUGUGAGUAUUAGAACUUUCUGAGCUUUUAGAUUAUGUUUCAUUACUUUCAUGAGUUGUAUGCUUCUCCCUCUAUCACCCUGGAGUGAAUGUUUCAGCUCCUAAGAUAUCUAUACAACAGCCAACUGACAACAGUUUCUUAAUAACUGACUUUUAAAAAUUUCUACUUGAUGCUUUGAUGCACAGAAACAUGACAUCAGUUAUUGUAAAUCUAGCUUACUAGAAAAGUAAGGUUUUACUUUGAUAUUUUUCUAUUAAACUUUUAAAUUUUUGAUUUUAAAAAGUUUUCCAUUGCACAUAUUAAUUGUAUGUGGUCUUAUGGCACAUAAGGACACUCACAUAAGUAUAUACUGUGUAUUUAUCUUUUUGGAUGCAUUGACUAUCAUACAUAAAUGUGGACCAUCUUUCACAUAUGUUUGAUGAUAUUUAUAUGUAUGUAUAUAAAUUUUGCACUGUGACUUAUUUAGUGGAACAACUUGUUGCAUUUCAUAGUUUGUGUCUUUUAAUUUCCUGGUUUACUCUUGUGUAAAUACCUUCAAUUAUUUUGUUCAUAAUGAGAGCAGUUAGUUGGCAGAUACUAAUACUGAAGAUGUCAAUGGCAGCAGAUAAAGAGAUGGAGCUCAAGAGAACUUCUACAUGAUUUUGUACUAAUAAGAAGCUCUCAGGAUACUUCAAUCACUAGACAAAAGGACAUGUUACAAAUGCAAGUACAGUUCACUUCCAGUUCUAAUAAUACGAGCACACAGAUUCUUACUGACUCCUCACAGACAACAUGUUCAGCUUCACAUAUACUCACCCUGAGAACUAAAUGAUGCAUAUCCUACAAAAACGCAGCAGAGAUUUAUAAAGACACUAAAGAAAAGCAUGUGUGAAGGUAACUGCAAAAGCAGAGGCAACAACACAAUCAUUAUUGAAAGAACUCAUGCACCUUGCAGGCUUCAACUUCUAUCUUAUCUUUUCAUUGCACCUUGGGUAUUGCAUGUGUGUCCAAUUAAGUACUCUCACGAAAGAUCAGAUUUUCAGCCCAGUAUGCCCGAUGAAUGGCUGUCUACUUAUGCCCUCCGAGCAGUCUUGAAAUAAUCGCACACUGGCUAGAAUGAAGACCAUAUCUAAAAUUGCUCUUGACAACCAAGCAUAGUUAACCCAAUUAGCUACUCUGUUUCUAAGAGCACACAUGGUUCAAAAUACAGCUUGAAACCACAGUAUGCAAAUUCUAUUAAGGGAAACAAAAAGUCCGCUGCCAAGCAUGAUCUGAGAAAGUGACAUGUGGCGUCAAAUAUCUCUGUACAAAUGUUAAGAUUCAGCCCCACAGCUUCCAUUACCAUGAGUGAGAAGAGGUGGGUGGGGUGUGUGCGCAAUUUCUAACAAGAUCAGGAAGAACUUCCCUUGGUUUGAAAUCUGUUUCAUUUAUUCUUGUUCAUGAUAAUUUAGAGGAAGUUGGAAUCUAAUUGGGCAAAGGAAUAAUAAACAGCUUUCUCCUUUAGGGCUUGGAUACUAUCACUUUAUGAAUAGAAAUGUAUUCCUGUGUACAGAUUUGUAAGACUGUGUUUAUUCACUAUUGCACAAAAUCUGUCUAGGAUGUAGGUCAAUAAAUAUGUGUAAAAACACUGAGCUUGACAGAUUUUAUGCAAAUCUGGAGAGAAACAUUGGAUGUCUUAUUCUACCAAAAAUAAAUUAAACAACUGUUUGUAUGCCCAAAACAUUUAUGUCAUUAAUACUUACAAAAUAAAUAUUUUCAAAUAGAAUGCAUGUAAAAUUAAAUAACACUGAGACAAAAGCAUUAAGUGGUGUUUCUUGGCUUAGUUUCCAUGCAGCCAGUAUUUAAAAUACAACUAUAUAUGAACUUUGAAAACAUAUGGCUAAACCAAUAAAAUAU